AGGCAGCAGUGGGGAAUUUUGGACAAUGGGGGCAACCCUGAUCCAGCAAUGCCGCGUGCAGGACGAAGGCCCUCGGGUUGUAAACUGCUUUUGUGCAGAACGAAAAGGACCUCUCUAAUACAGAGGUUUCAUGACGGUACUGCAAGAAUAAGCACCGGCUAACUACGUGCCAGCAGCCGCGGUAAUACGUAGGGUGCGAGCGUUAAUCGGAAUUACUGGGCGUAAAGCGUGCGCAGGCGGCCGCGUAAGACAGAGGUGAAAUCCCCGGGCUCAACCUGGGAACUGCCUUUGUGACUGCGCGGCUGGAGUGCGGCAGAGGGGGGUGGAAUUUCGCGUGUAGCAGUGAAAUGCGUAGAUAUGCGAAGGAACACCGAUGGCGAAGGCAGCCCCCUGGGCCUGCACUGACGCUCAUGCACGAAAGCGUGGGGAGCAAACAGGAUUAGAUACCCUGGUAGUCCACGCCCUAAACGAUGUCAACUGGUUGUUGGGGAUUUAUUUUCUCA
rnacentral:rRNA from 1 species